GUGGAUGUAGCUCAGCUGGUUAGAGCGCUGGAUUGUGGUUCCAGAGGUCGCCGGUUCGAAUCCGGUCUUCCACC
rnacentral:tRNA from 1 species